GUAGUCAAUCUGCGAUAUGGACGUGGAUAACCUCGGGAAACUGAGAAUAAUUCGCGAUAGAUCAUAAUGCCUCGAACGGUCUAUGGUCCAAAUGAUUCGUCGCCAUAGGAUGAGACUGCGGCUAUCAGCUUGCUGGUGAGGUAAUGGCCCACCAAGGCUAUUACAGGUACGGGCUCUGAGAGGAGAAGCCCGGAGAUGGGUAAUGAGACACGGACCCAGGCCCUUUGGGGCGCAGCAGGCGAGAAACCUUUGCAAUGUGCGCAAGCACGACAAGGUUAAUCCGAGUGUUUCCUGCUAAAGGAAUCUUUUGUUAGUUGUAAAACCACUGAUGAAUAAGGGGUGGGCAAGUUCUGGUGUCAGCCGCCGCGGUAAAACCAGCACCUCAAGUGGUCAGGAGGAUUAUUGGGCCUAAAGCAUCCGUAGCCGGUUCUGUAAGUUUCCGGUUAAAUCCACUAGCUCAACUAAUGGGCUGCCGGAAAUACUGCAGAACUAGGGAGUGGGAGAGGUAGACGGUACUCGGGAGGAAGGGGUAAAAUCCUUUGAUCUCUUGGUGACCACCUGUGGCGAAGGCGGUCUACCAGAACACGUUCGACGGUGAGGGAUGAAAGCUGGGGGAGCAAACCGGAUUAGAUACCCGGGUAGUCCCAGCUGUAAACGAUGCAGAAUCGGUGAUGCACUGGCUUUUGGCCAGUGCAGUGCCGCAGGGAAGCCGUUAAGUGUGCCGCCUGGGAAGUACGUACGCAAGUAUGAAACUUAA
rnacentral:rRNA from 1 species